AGAACGAACGCUGGCGGCAUGCCUAAUACAUGCAAGUCGAACGAACUCUUCGGAGUUAGUGGCGCACGGGUGCGUAACGCGUGGGAAUCUGCCCCUUGGUUCGGAAUAACAGUUGGAAACGACUGCUAAUACCGGAUGAUGACGAAAGUCCAAAGAUUUAUCGCCAAGGGAUGAGCCCGCGUAGGAUUAGCUAGUUGGUGAGGUAAAGGCUCACCAAGGCAACGAUCCUUAGCUGGUCUGAGAGGAUGAUCAGCCACACUGGGACUGAGACACGGCCCAGACUCCUACGGGAGGCAGCAGUAGGGAAUAUUGGACAAUGGGCGAAAGCCUGAUCCAGCAAUGCCGCGUGAGUGAUGAAGGCCUUAGGUUGUAAAGCUCUUUACCGAGAUGAUAAUGACAGUAUCGGGAGAAGUAGGCCCCGGACUAAACGUCCGUGCCAGCACGCCGC
rnacentral:rRNA from 1 species